UUCAAGCGCAGUAGCUCUUGCCUUAACGGCUUUCUUUUGACUCCGUCGGCCUUCUGGGGACACGGGUUCCGGGAGACGGGAGGAGCAGGGAAGGUUUCCACGGUUCUGCUGUAUUAUUCGCACAGAACCAUUCAUUAUCCUCCCAACGCCUUUCUUCUUUUCUCCCGAGGCCUCAGCACCUCCUGCUCUGGAUAAAGAGGUUAUUGUGUCUGCGGAGCUGGCGGGACCAGGGGCCCACGAGGGGGCGCCCAGCGCCUCGGAAUGGCUCACCUGUCUGCAAAGGGGAGGCGGCGGCCAGCUCUGGUCUUCGGAUGCCUCCGCCUCCCGGAGCCCCUGGAACUGCUCCCGGAAGGCCUUCAUCUGUCUGUUAAUGGGUUUGACAGAGAAGAGCGCCGCCAGCCCCCGAGGAGGAGGGAGAUCUGGGAGAAAGGAGUGGCAACGGGAGUUUCUGCUAAAGACGUAGGUAUUCUGGAUCCUCAGGUCUGGCAGAGAAAACUUCCUAAGAUUAAUUUGUUACAUACCUAAGAAAUCACCGAGUGUAGCAGCAGCAUGGGAUAGAGGAAAGUCAGGGGUCGCCUCUAGAUCCCUGUUGUGCUCCCAGCACCGGGUGGUUAUGGAAAAGCAGGGCAGGAGACAACCUCCCCCACCCUCACUUCUCCUGGAUCUGAUGGACGUGAGCAGCACCUGCUUUGCUUCCUUGGUCUCCGCGGCCAUCCUGUGGACUCCCCUGUGGCAGUGCUUGGUAAACCAGAAAGCCCUGGGCCAGCUCUUUCAUCUCAUGGAUGCUCUGCUUAAACCAGAGCCUCACCCUUGCACUUGUCCCCAGCACUCGCCUCCUGAGUGACCCAGGAUGCAUUGGACACUUCCUUGGCACUCAUGGCUGUGCUGACUCUUGGGGGUGGGGUCAUGGGGUGGGGCCAGGCUCUGGCUGAGGCCACAAGAAAGAAGACACUUUCUUUGUUCUAGAGGAGCCAGUUGGUCCAGUUUUACACCUCCCUCAGGAAUGGAAAGCCAACUUCCCUGGGAGUGCAGAGACCUGUACUCAGAACCAGUAUUGCCAGGAACUUAUUAAGAACCCUGAGCAAAUCACCUUGCUUCUCUGGGCCUCAGCUUUUCCUUGUUCUACAAUAAGAAGGUUGAACAAGAUGGUCUCUAGGAGCUCUUCAAGCUUUAAAUAUCUGUUGUUAUAAUAUUAUCAAGCCCAACUAUUGCAGCUGCUUUUGUUUUAUUAACUGUAGAUUUGAAAUACUCAUCUUCUCUGGGAUGCUUUGGUGGCCUUAAUCAUGCUAUGACUCGUCAUUUCUAUCUUUAAGGAUGGUAUAUGUGCAAUAGGAAGAUAAUGCAUAAAAGUUCUUUCAGAAAAAGUGAAAACAGGGGCACGUGAGUGGCUCAGCUGGUUAAGCAUCUGACUUUGGCUCAGAUCACGAUCCCAGCGUCCUGGGAUUGAGCCCUAAACCCUGAGUCAGGCUCUUUGCUUAGUGGGGAGUCUGCUUCUCCCUCUUCCUCUGCUGCUCGCACUCUCUUUCAAAUGAUUAAAUAAAAUAUUUUUUUAAAAAGUAAAAGUAAAAACA
rnacentral:lncRNA from 12 species